UGUGUACGGUGUGCAGUGUGCUGUGUACAGUGUGCUGUGUACAGUGUACUGUGUACAGUGUACAGUGUGCUGUGUACAGUGUGCUGUGUACUGUGUACAGUGUGCAGUGUGCUGUGUACAGUGUCUGACUGACCACUAGGGCUAAGGCGGGUAACUCGGGUACUCGGGUCGGGUGGGUCCUGAGUAGGACCCGGGUACCCACAGGACUACCUGGACCCGUGGUUAGUCACGUGAUAUGUUGUUUAAUGUAAAAAACUCACUAUAGCUCAGUGGUUACACUGCAAGUCGCUAAUGUUCACAUUCCUUUUGACUUGUAUAGGUUUGAGUAAACAUAAAGCUUCAGUCAACUUCACUGUACGCAUGAUCUCUUCGUUCUAUACAUGUAUCUAAACAGUUCUUGCCAGGGCUGCGGUAAAACAAUUCCCAAUCAGACAUUUUGCAACUCUUGAGAGCUACAGCGGGUACCCAGAUAGGGUCAGGUUAUGAGGGGUUAGGUACCCAGAUAGGGUCAGGUUAUGAGGGGUUAGGUUCCCAGGUAGGAAAUUUAGACUCAUCCAAGCCCUAAUGGCUUGAACACGACGUUAAACCCUGCUUCACCUCAUCUUAGCAUGGUGGAGACUUCAAGUCAAGAUUAGAUGUUUGUUUGACUGUGGCUGAGGCACGAGCACCAACUGUAGAUGCCCCUCCUGUCCACACACCCAGCAGCUUCAUCUCAUUACAACGAUACCUGGACUACCUGUGCAGGUAGUUGCUUUUUUUGUUGAUUGCUCACAAAUUGUUGAUGAACGUUGAAAUUAUUGGUGCUAGUUCUAUAUUGACAAUAUGUGUAAUAAGUGGUGACAGGACUGUGUUGUCUUUAUGUACUAUUUUAUAUAUGGAGUAUACAGUGAUUGUUCCCUGUUUAUUGAUGCAUGUAUAAUAAUUAGACAUAUAUAUAUGUAGCGUCAUAAUCUAUGCUUUGUGAUAACUAUACAUUGAUUUAUGGAUAAAACAAUAUAUCUGA